rnacentral:misc_RNA from 1 species
GAUGAAGAACGUAGCGAAAUGCGAUAAGUAAUGUGAAUUGCAGAAUUCAGUGAAUCAUCGAAUCUUUGAACGCACAUUGCGCCCGCCAGUAUUCUGGCGGGCAUGCCUGUCCGAGCGUCAUUUCAACCCUCGCGCCCAUCUGGGCUGCGGUAUUGGGGACCGGCCUGCCCCCCGGGGCGCGCCGCCCCCCAAAUUCAGUGGCGGUCUCGCUGCAGCCUCCCUUGCGUAGUAGCACACCUCGCACCGGAGCGCAGCGCGGCCACGCCGUAAAACCCCCGACCCCCAUGAGUUUGACCUCGGAUCAGGUAGGAAUACCCGCUGAACUUAAGCAUAUCAAUAAGCGGAGGA